AUAACCAUGUGAAGUAAUAUAAAAAACUGUAUUAUAUUGAAUUAUACAGUAUCUUAAUGCAUUCUGUCAAGUCAAAUAACAAACAGUAUACGGCUUUAAUAGAAAAAGGUUUUUGACACAUCGUGAUGCAUCGAGAUAUGGAAUAAAAGACAUGAUAAUCGUAAUGGAAUCGGGAGAUUAGUGUAGAUUCACACCUCUACUAGAUACAAGUGUAAAAUUGUGACUUUUUUCGAGUUGCUUCA